AUUGCAUUUCAGCAGCGCCCGCGCACAUGGACGCUCCAAUUACAGGUACUUGGGAGGGGACGCCUUUGUCCGCGGCCCAUUCACGGCGGAGCCGGCUCCGGGCGGAGAAGCUGUCGGGCGCUGUCGCACAAAGCGAUUUUGUGCCUCCUCCCGGCGCCUUCCUCCACUCCCUGCCGCGUUCAAGGACAAACAAGGACCUCCAAAUUCGUGUUCAAACGCCCCGCGUGGUAGGCAGUGUGGGGGGGUCAGAGGAGAGUCUGGAAGGAACCCAAAGGCUCUAGAGGCUAGAAAUUGGCAGUCAGGAUGUGUGUAAGGCCACGCUCCCUCUGAAGACUCCAGGGGAGGAUCUUUCCUUGCCUCCUCCAGCUUCUGGUGGCUGCCAGCAUCCUUGGCAUUCCUUGGCCUGUGGACACAUCACUCUCAUCUCUGCCCAUGGUCACAACCCCAAGCUCCAGAAUACAGACCAGCAGGCGAGGAGACAAGGAGGCAAGCAGAUGGAUGGUGGAACAAAGUGGCAGAGAAAGAGAGAAGAGGAGAGAUGUCUGGACGCCAAGAGGAGUCUGGCUGGGGCCAGUCAGAGAAGAGUCCAGCGGCUGGGCAGCCCGACUCCAGGGGAAGAUCACCUUCCCACUCCAUCCCCCUUCACGCUCCCCAUCCAUCUCACUAAGAGCCAUCUCUACCACUCAAUAAAACCUUGCAUUCAUCCUUCAA
rnacentral:lncRNA from 10 species